GUCGAGCGGACAGAAGGGAGCUUGCUCCCGGAUGUUAGCGGCGGACGGGUGAGUAACACGUGGGUAACCUGCCUGUAAGACUGGGAUAACUCCGGGAAACCGGAGCUAAUACCGGAUAGUUCCUUGAACCGCAUGGUUCAAGGAUGAAAGACGGUUUCGGCUGUCACUUACAGAUGGACCCGCGGCGCAUUAGCUAGUUGGUGAGGUAACGGCUCACCAAGGCGACGAUGCGUAGCCGACCUGAGAGGGUGAUCGGCCACACUGGGACUGAGACACGGCCCAGACUCCUACGGGAGGCAGCAGUAGGGAAUCUUCCGCAAUGGACGAAAGUCUGACGGAGCAACGCCGCGUGAGUGAUGAAGGUUUUCGGAUCGUAAAGCUCUGUUGUUAGGGAAGAACAAGUGCAAGAGUAACUGCUUGCACCUUGACGGUACCUAACCAGAAAGCCACGGCUAACUACGUGCCAGCAGCCGCGGUAAUACGUAGGUGGCAAGCGUUGUCCGGAAUUAUUGGGCGUAAAGGGCUCGCAGGCGGUUUCUUAAGUCUGAUGUGAAAGCCCCCGGCUCAACCGGGGAGGGUCAUUGGAAACUGGGAAACUUGAGUGCAGAAGAGGAGAGUGGAAUUCCACGUGUAGCGGUGAAAUGCGUAGAGAUGUGGAGGAACACCAGUGGCGAAGGCGACUCUCUGGUCUGUAACUGACGCUGAGGAGCGAAAGCGUGGGGAGCGAACAGGAUUAGAUACCCUGGUAGUCCACGCCGUAAACGAUGAGUGCUAAGUGUUAGGGGGUUCCGCCCCUUAGUGCUGCAGCUAACGCAUAAGCACUCCG
rnacentral:rRNA from 1 species